rnacentral:tRNA from 1 species
GGGUUCGUAGCUCAGUUGGUAGAGCAGCUGACUCUUAAUCAGUUGGUCGCGAGUUCGAAUCUCGCCGAGCCCACCA